GAUUUACUCCCUCCGUUCCGAAUUACUUGUCUUAGAUUUGUCUAAUACGGAUGUAGUCUAGAUACAUCCGUAUCGAGACAAAUCCAAAACAAGUAAUUCGGAAUAGAGGGAGUACAUC
rfam:Triticum aestivum genome assembly, contig: Triticum_aestivum_CS42_TGACv1_scaffold_393673_5AS